rnacentral:rRNA from 1 species
UACGUAGGGUGCGAGCGUUAAUCGGAAUUACUGGGCGUAAAGCGUGCGCAGGCGGUGGCUCAAGCCAGGCGUGAAAUCCCCGGGCUUAACCUGGGAACUGCAAUUGAAACUGUGUAACUAGAGUCGAAGAGAGGGAAGCGGAAUUUCCGGUGUAGCGGUGAAAUGCGUAGAUAUCGGAAGGAACACCCGUGGCGAAGGCGGCUUCCUGGCUUCAGACUGACGCUGAGGUGCGAAAGCGUGGGUAGCGAACAGG